AUUUUGGGGGGAAUUUUGGGGGAUUUUUGUGGGGAUUUGGGGGAAUUUUGGGGAUUUAGGGGGGAUUUGGGGGAUUUCAGGGAUUUUUGGGAACUCAGGAGGAUUUUGGGGAGAUUUGGGAUGGAAUUUGGGGAAUUUGGGGCAGUUAUGGGGGGAUUUGGGAUAAUUUCGGGGGGAUUUUGGGGGGAUUUGGGGAUUUUUGGGAGGAUUUUGGGGGGAUUUUGGGUUGGUUUUUGGGGUGUUUCAGGUGCUUUUGGGGUGUUUCUGGGGUGUUUUCAGGGUGUUUUUGGGGUAUUUUGGGGUGUUUUGGGGUGCUUUUGGGGUGGUUUUGGGGUGUUUUGGGGUGUUUUGGGUGGUUUGGGGGUGGUUUUAGGGUGUUUUUGGGAUGUUUUGGGGUGUUUGGGGGUGUUUUGGGGUGUUUCUGGGGUAUUUUGGGGUGUUUUGGGGUGUUUCAGGGUGUUUUGGAGUGUUUUUGGGGUGUUUCAGGGUGUUUUUAGGGUGUUUUCAGGGUGUUUCAGGGUGUUUUGGGGUGGUUCAGGGUGUUUUUGGGGUGUUUUCAGGGUGUUUUCAGGUGUUUCAGGGUGUUUUGGGGUGUUUUUGGGGUGUUUCAGGGUGUUUUUGGGGUGUUUUUGGGUGUUUUGGGCCCUCACCCGGCUCCGGGGCCUCUUUCCGGACGUGCUCGUCCUCCAGGGCUCCGAUGCCGCCGCUGAACAUGAUGGGCUUGAUCCACUCCCGGCGCUGCCCCCCGGGCAGGACCUGCCCGAAGGAGCGGGCGAAGCCUGGCAACCCCAAAAUCCGCCCAAAUUCACCCAAAUCCGCCCAGAAAUCCCCGCCAAAAUCGGCCAAAAUUGGGGGAAAUCAAAAAUGGCCAAAAAAGGGCAAAAAUCGGCCCCGAAUCCAGCCCAGAACCACCGGGGAAAGGCUGGGAAUGCCAAAAUCUGCCCAAAUUCACCCAAAAUCACCCAAAAUCAACACAAAAUCACCCAAAAUCAUCCCAAAGUGACCCAAAAUCACGAAAAAUCAUCCCAAAGUGACCCAAAAUCACCCAAAAUCAACCAAAAUCAUCCCAAAAUCCCCCAAAAUCACCCCAAAAUCACCCCAAAGUGACCCAAAAUCACCCAAAGUCAUCCCAAAAUUACCCAAAAUCACCCAAAAUCACCCAAAAUCAGCCCCAAAUUCAGCCCAGAACCCCCGGGGAAAGGCUGGGAAUGCCAAAAUCCGCCCAAAUUCACCCAAAUCCGCACCAAUCCAUCCAAAAAUUCCCACUGAAAUCCCCCAAAAUCCCCCAAAAUCACCUCAAGUCACCCAAAAUCACCCCAAAAUCAGCCCAAACAUCCCAAAGUUACCCAAAAUCCCCCAAAAUCACCUCAAGUCACCCAAGGAGACCCAAAAUCAGCCCAAAAUCACCCAAAGUCAUCCCAAAAUGACCCAAAAUCACUAAAAAUCAUCCCAAAAUCACCCCAAAGUGACCCAAAAUCACCCAAAAUCAUCCUAAAAUCCCCCAAAGCCCCCAAAGUCACCCCAAAGUGACCCAAAAUGACCCAAAGUCAUCCAAAAAUGACCCAAAAUCAUCCCAAAAUCACCCCAAAAUCACCCAAAAUCACCCAAAAUCACCCCAAAAUCAUCCCAAAAUUACCCAAAAUCACUAAAAAUCAUCCCAAAAUCACCCCAAAAUCACCCAAAGUCACCCAAAAUCAGCCCCAGUCUCAGCCCAGAACCCCUGGACAAAGCCUGGCAACCCCAAAAUCCGCCCAAAUUCACCCAAAAUCAUCCCAAAAUGACCCAAAAUCACCAAAAAUCUCCCAAAAUCAUCCCAAA
ensembl:lncRNA